CAUGUCCUUUUAAUUUUUUUUUAAGGUUUAAUCUGCUCAAUGAUAUUUAUAUUAAAUUGCCGCAGUAUUUUAACUGUGCAAAGGUAGCAUAAUAAUUAGUUUUUUUAUUGAAAACUUGUAUGAAUGAUUGGACGAGAAAUUAACUGUCUCUUUUUUAAUUAUUUUUUAAUUUAACUUUUAAGUUAAAAGGCUUAAGUGUUAUUUAAAGACGAGAAGACCCUAUAGAGUUUUUUUUUUCAGUUUUUUUUUUGGAAUAAAAAUUUAAUUUAAAAUUAAAUUGAUUAAUUUAGUUGGGGUGAUUUAAAGAUUAAAUAAACUCUUUAAUAAAAAGAAUAUCAUUGAUUUAUGAAUAUAUUAUCUAUGUUUUUAAAUUUAAAAUAAAUUACCUUAGGGAUAACAGCGUAAUUUUUUUUUAUAGUUCUUAUAGGAAGAAAAGUUUGCGACCUCGAUGUUGGAUUAAAAUUUAUUUUAGGUGAAAAAGCUUAUUAAUUAAGUCUGUUCGACUUUUAAAAUUUUACAUGAUCUGAGU
rnacentral:rRNA from 1 species